GUAGAAUUUUAGGUCGAGUGAGGGUUUUUAAGUUUUUAUGCAAUCUACUAGUUGGAUUGGAGUAAACUUAUGUGAGAGGAUAUUAGACUUAUUUUCCUAUAUCCAUGAGAGAUUUGAAACCAAUCGAACGGCUCAAAAAAGAGAAAUUGGCUCUGGAAGGUUGGCAACAAGAUUGGAGAAGGAGGCCAGCUAACACCCGAACACAUUUUUGAGGUUUUCAUCAAUUUGUUAACUCCGAUCCUUUUCAAAUUUUUUUGCUUAUUUUGAACUUGGUUUUUAAGAAGUGUGCAAAUUUUGAAUUGAGAUCAACGGUUUAUUCAUUAGAUAUUGAGGUUUAAAUCUGUCGUAGGAAUUACUAGGAUUUGGAUUAGGGUUUGGCUAGGGUUCGGUUUAGGGUUUGGAUUAGGAUUUGGAUUAGGAUUUAGGGUUUGAUUAGAGUUUGGCUAGGGUUCAUUUUAGGAUUUGGAUUAGGAUUUGGAUUAGGGUUUGGUUAGGAUUUGAUUUGAGAUUUGGAUUAGGGUAGGGAUUAAAGUUUGGUUAGGAUUUGAUUUAAGGUUUGGUUUAGGGUUUAGGAUUUGGAUUAGAGUUUAGGAUUGAAUUAGGAUUUGGAUUAGGAUUUGGAUUAGGGUUUAGAAUUUGGUUAGGAUUUGAUUUAGGGUUUGAAUUAGGAUUUGGUUAGGAUUUGAUUUAAGGUUUGGUUUAAGAUUUAGGGUUGGAUUAGGGUUUGGUUUAGGGUUUGAUUUAGGAUUUGAUUUAGGGUCUAGGAUUUGGAAUAGGGUUUAAUUUAAGAACUGUUUAGGAUUUGACUUAGGAUUUAGGAAUUAUUAAGGUUUAAGAUUUUAUUAGAUUUGGUCUAAAGUUGAGUGAAAUUCAAUAGGGUUUUAACUAGAAUUAAAUUAAGGUUGAAUUGACAUAUAUUUGAGUAAAAUUUGUGAUCAUUCUAAUAUUUCUUUAAGAAUUUUAUUAUUUGUUUGAAAUUUCUUUGAGUU
rnacentral:lncRNA from 1 species